rnacentral:lncRNA from 1 species
GUGCUGGGGGCAGCGGGAGGCUCUGCUGCCUGGCGGGGUCGCCUUGCGCUCUCGCGGCCCCGCCGCUUCGCUCGUGCGUGAUAAAACUUAUUAAAACGCUUCGCGCUGUGGUCGGUGGCUUCCCUCCGGGAACGCUGSCCUCUCGGCCCGUUUCGCGCUAGAUGAGUUCCCAGAUGUUGUUCCCGUUGCUGUUUUCCACAGUGAAUCAGCUGCUGGAAGAACCAUUGCAGUCCUUAACCUUAAUUUAGGCCGUUUCGAUGUUCCACCUGACCCGUUUGAGCUGUGGGGGAGAUUCCUCUGCUCCCCACCCAAAACUAACGAGAACAGGUGUCGGUCUGGGCCUCUGCUAUGGCUAGAUCCUGCUGGAGACAGACGAACGAAGAGGAGGGCCACACACCUCAGCAGCAGCCACAGUUACGCUGGAGUCGCUGAACUAUCACGCUGCAUGCAGAGGAUGAAUUACUAG